ACCGUUUGACCCGACCUGCUGAGUUGUUGACCCGCAAAAUACCCGAUGGGUAAUUUUGAUUUUUUUUUUCAAUUUUGCGGGUCGGGUACCCGACCCGUUAAAAUAUCAGAUUUGGAAGCCGAACAUAGUGAGUUGCGGGUACCCGUUAAAUAACCGAAUUUUUUUUAUUUUUUCUUUUAAAAUUUCUUAGCUGGAACUCAAAUAAGGGUUACUUUCAUCUAGUCUUCUCUCUCCUCACUUCCUAAGACAAGCAGUAGCCGCAUCUCAACAUUCUUCUCACUCCUCUUCUCUCUCCUUGCUCACACUCAAUUCCCAAACACACACUCUCAAGUCUCUCUGAAACGAACCUUCUUCCUCCCUCUCAGGCGAACCUCCGUCGACCGUCAGUUCCUCGCCGUCAGCCGCGUAAGGGAUUAAAGACUUGGUCUCAGAGUAACCAACAAUUAUUAUUGAUGAAACUAUUGAAGCCUCGGAUGUCACAAGUGACUGAAAUUAUCCCCUCUCCCAUUUAGUUUUAUUUGUGGCUUUGAGAUAUUGUUUGGAGUUUGUAAUUUAUUUAGUUGUUUUAAUUUGAUGUAAACUGUUUGGACUAUCUAGCUGGACACCUUGAACUUUGAACUUUGGUUUGCAUAUUGUACUCUAAAUCAGAAUUUGGUUGAGUUAUGAGAAUAAUUCAAGAUAGGUAAGCAUUGCAUCAGGUUAUUUUUGUUAA